AAUGAACGCUGGCGGCAUGCCUAACACAUGCAAGUCGAACGAGACCUUCGGGUCUAGUGGCGCACGGGUGCGUAACGCGUGGGAAUCUGCCCUUGGGUUCGGAAUAACAGUUAGAAAUGACUGCUAAUACCGGAUGCUGUCGUAAGACCAAAGAUUUAUCGCCCAAGGAUGAGCCCGCGUAGGAUUAGCUAGUUGGUGAGGUAAAAGCUCACCAAGGCGAGGAUCCUUAGCUGGUCUGAGAGGAUGAGCAGCCACACUGGGACUGAGACACGGGCCAGACUCCUACGGGAGGCAGCAGUGGGGAAUAUUGGACACUGGGCGAAAGCCUGAUCCAGCAAUGCCGCGUGAGUGAUGAAGGCCUUAGGGUUGUAAAGCUCUUUUACCCGGGAUGAUAAUGACAGUACCGGGAGAAUAAGCUCCGGCUAACUUCGUGCCAGCCGCCGCGGUAAUAC
rnacentral:rRNA from 1 species